GAUGAAGAACGUAGCGAAAUGCGAUAAGUAAUGUGAAUUGCAGAAUUCAGUGAAUCAUCGAAUCUUUGAACGCACAUUGCGCCCGCCAGUAUUCUGGCGGGCAUGCCUGUUCGAGCGUCAUUACAACCCUCAGGCCCCCGGGCCUGGCGUUGGGGAUCGGCGGAGCCCCCCGUGGGCACACGCCGUCCCCCAAAUGCAGUGGCGGUCCCGCCGCAGCUUCCAUCGCGUAGUAGCUAACACCUCGCGACUGGAGAGCGGCGCGGCCACGCCGUAAAACACCCCACUUCUGAAAGUUUGACCUCGGAUCAGGUAGGAAUACCCGCUGAACUUAAGCAUAUCAAUAAGCGGAGGA
rnacentral:misc_RNA from 1 species